UUUCGUUAAUAAUUUAAUUAUAGAUAGAGACAAAAUAAAAUCGGCUUAUAACGGAGAACCCGUCACCACGAAAAUGGACAUUGUCACAUCGUGGCCGGCAACCCCGUGGGAAGUCUGCGCUUAAUCGGCGCAUGACCCUGUAACGACUGACCCGAAAGGGAAGAUCCUGAGCGAAUCUUGAGCGUAAGCGAAAGAGGAGUCGAAGGAUAACACGCCGACUCUUGCUAAGUCAAACUGAGAUCAUGUCCGCCAGUGGGCGGACUAAAAUCCAGAGCAAGAUGAAGAUAUAGUCUGCGCCAUAUGAAAGUAUGGA
rnacentral:autocatalytically_spliced_intron from 1 species